rnacentral:tRNA from 1 species
ACGGCGGCGGCCGGGUUCCAGGCGACGACGUCCCAGGUCGCGGUCUUGACCAAAGCGGGGCUGGUCUCGAGCGUGUCGAGCAGCCGCU